UCACCAGAGAGUCCCAGUCCUUCAUCAUGACCGAAGAGUCCUUCACCAUCCUCCUCAUCCUCACAGAGCUCCUGUCCUUCAUGGUCACUGGAGAGUCCCAGUCCUUCAUCAUGGUCACCAGAGUCCCAGUCCUUCAUCAUGGUCACCAAGAGUCCUUCACCAUCAUCAUCAUCCCUGGAGAGUCCUCGUCCUUCAUCCUGGUCCCUGCUAGUCCUUCAUCAUGGUCACCGAAGAGUCCUUCACCAUCAUCAUCAUCACCAGAGAGUCCUCGUCCUUCAUCACCACUCAAGUCCUUCAUCAUCAUCACCGGAAAGUCCUCAGAGCAUCCCCAUCCUUCACCACCAUCCUCAUCACCCCGUCCCCUCUCCGUUGUCACCAGAAGUCCCCUUGUCACCUCUGAGCCACCGUCCCCUCCGUGUCCCCCCCCGUGUCCCCCCCUCCCCCACCGGGGGUGACACCACCACUAAAUUAUUGCAGCCCCCCGGGCACCAAUUUGCUCCCGUUUCCACCCAAAACCACCAGCCCAGCUGCAGGGGCCCCAUCCCCCGUGUCCCCAACUGGGGGCUCUCCUGUCCCCUCAUGUCCCCUCCCCCCCCAAAUCCAUCCUGGUUUUGGUUUGUUUUUUUCCCUUUUUAUGCUUUUUUUUUCGUUUUUUUCCUUUUUUUUUCAUAUUGAAAAGCCACGCCCGGGCGAGGAAUAAACCCGGGAUGUAAAGCCACCACCGUGUCCCUUGUCCCCUUCCUGUCCCCAUGGUCCUCCUGGGGUCCUCCAGCUCCACUUUGGGGUCCCCUCUAGGUCCCUUCA
rnacentral:lncRNA from 1 species